GUAGGUGAACCUGCGGAAGGAUCAUUACCGAGUUAGGGUCCUCUGGGCUCGACCUCCUACCCUUUGUCUACCUUACCAUUUGUUGCUUCGGCGGAUCCGUCCCCUCGGGGACCGCCGAGGGGUCUAAGGCCCCUUGACCCGCGUCCGCCGGUGGCCCACAACCAAAACCCUUGUUUAAGCGUGUCGUCUAAGUAUAAAACAAAUAAGUAAAAACUUUCAACAACGGAUCUCUUGGUUCUG
rnacentral:misc_RNA from 1 species